CGGACCCCUCCCAACCCAGCAGGACAUGGUGAACUCGCACCGGGGCCUGGCCUUCCUGAAAGCAGCAAAGGAGUUCCACUAGCGUUACAUCACCACUGCCAGCCAGACAUCAACCGCAUAACAUUCGUUCUUGUUCUUCUCCUGUGAGCAUUUCUAUGUCAUCUACUGCAAGUUCUGGGAGCUCGACCUGGACGGCGACCUCGCCAUAGACUGGCACACCAAGGGGGAGGUGGUUGUGGCCUGACGUGUGGAGUGGGCGUGGCCUCCGCCUCAAUGGGCGUGGUCUCCAUCACCCUGACCCCGCCCUGCCCUUGCAGCCAUCUCUUCCUGGAUGAUAGACUGCGUCUUCUCUCUCCGGUGCUGUCACCCAGUGAGCAGCCUGGGAGGGCGCAGCCCCUGUGCAGUGCCAGGAAGCUGGGCUAUGCUGAACUCAUGUGGUGCCUGCUCUCAGAGGAGGACAAGAUCACGUGAGGGGCGGUGCCCCAGUCAGCCAUGCCUCCUGCUUGCUCCUUACCUCGCUUCUCUGUGGUCACGCCCACCAACUCUGGCUUCACCCUGACAUGGCCACGCUGAGUACUGGUUCCGCUGCGUGGUGGUCGAGCUCGAGUUCUAUGAGGAGCAGGCCUGGCACAUGGCCCCCCAAGGCAUGGAGCUCCUCCUUUUCUGCCACCUCACGCACCAGGUCGGAUCACGCUUUGUGGCCUGAAGCGCUUGAGCCUGGCAGGUCUGUCCGACAUCAUGGAUCUCUAUGGCCUCACUAACGAUGACUGCGAUGACUUGGAGCAGCUGUGACACCCUACUGUGUGCCCGGGAACGGUGCACAUGUGCCUACAAGGGCUUCCUCCCGAG
rnacentral:lncRNA from 1 species